rfam:Rattus norvegicus chromosome 2, whole genome shotgun sequence.
UAGGGAGGUCAGGGCCAGGAGCUGCCCCCCUGAGCCCAGGAUAACUCUUGAAGUCGGGGGGCA